CCUGGGCUCAAGCCUUGGCCUCCCAAAGUGCUGGGAUUACAGCCCCACCUGCAGAGUCAAGUCCCUCCUCCCACCUCAGCACUGCUAGAAAAGAGCUUCAGGAUGGAGCCACACAUGUCACUCAAGCCCAAGGGUCAGUCAACAGCCCACAGCCCUAAAUUCAUCUGUGUCCAAUGCCAGACCCUGCAACUGCUGAUUUACAUGAAUCAACUCCAUCAUGCAAGCCUCAUGACAUCCCAAUGAGACGCAGGUGCUUUUGCAGUCAUGUGACUGGACGUGGGCUAGGACUCUGUUGUCCGUGGCUGGAGUCCAUAGCUGAGAACAAAGAAGGAAAAACUUCAGGAGGACACUCCCAGCCCACAGCACGGCACAUCAAAGAUCCCAGAUGCCACCUACGUGACAGGCAGAAACGCUCGCGAGCUUUGCUUGCUCAGCCAGUUUUUCUGCUCCUCAAGUCUGGACGAAAGCAGCAAGAAAGAGAGAAAGGACUUGGUAGAAGCCAAAGAGAAAGGACUUUGCCUUCUGCCUAUUGGUGGGGGCUUCCCUCUCCUCCUCCAUGACUGGUUCCCUUGCCCCCUCACCAUGAAGACAAGUGAGAAUGUCUUCAAAACCUGGGGACAGAGGCUGGGUGCGGUGUCUCUCACCUGUGAUCCCAGCACUUUGGGAGGCUGAGGUGGGCAGAUCACUUGA
rnacentral:lncRNA from 1 species